UACGAAGGGGGCUAGCGUUGCUCGGAAUCACUGGGCGUAAAGGGCGCGUAGGCGGCCGAUCAAGUCAGAGGUGAAAGCCCAAGGCUCAACCUUGGAAUUGCCUUUGAUACUGUUCGGCUUGAGACCGGAAGAGGUAAGUGGAACUGCGAGUGUAGAGGUGAAAUUCGUAGAUAUUCGCAAGAACACCAGUGGCGAAGGCGGCUUACUGGUCCGGUUCUGACGCUGAGGCGCGAAAGCGUGGGGAGCAAACAGG
rnacentral:rRNA from 1 species